GCUUAACAAUUUGAUCGAUUUUGUUUAGUCCCAUUAAGUCUCUUUUACUUUUAAUGCUAAAUAAAUUGGGAUAUUUUAUUUUAGAAACAAAUAUUUACCAUAGAAAAUUUCAGUGAACGUAGAUCCCUUUAAAUUACAGAAAUAAAUGAUAGUAAAUAAUACAUAUCUUGUCCCAUUUGAAAGUGUUCUUGUAAUGUUGUAUCACCCCGUUCAAAUCAGAUAUCAUUGAUAUGAUUUAAGCCCAUUAACCUCCCUUUUUGUGCUUUGUUGCCAUAUGGCACAUGUUAAUUAGGAUACCAAGUAAAACUUUAUGUUAAUUUAGGAGCACUUUAUAUCCUCAAAAAAGCAAUGUAGUCGUAUGGCACCGUAUUUUAAAUGCAUCUGCACCAGUCGGUGCUGCCAUCUACAUUUCCAGUAAUGGCGGCGCCCAUGAGUGGUUGACAAGACCAAAAGUUCCAAGACAAAAUUAUUUAUUUUCGACUUCGAUUACGUGUAAAUUGGUUGACAAUAUGGCAUUCAGUACAAGGUAUUUUUAUGGAAGGACUGGUCCCACUACAGCUGUUAUUCCGGAUACUGGUGAUGUAUCUGAUAUUGGCGAGUCUGAUGAUGAACAAGACCCUUCAGGGCAGCCACUUGGAUCAGCUUCAGAGAGUGAUUAUGAAGAUGAAGAAGAAGAGGUUAGUGUCGAGGAAGACAGUGAUGAGGAUGACGAUGCACCUCCAGCAUCAUCUGAUGCACCUCCAGCAUCAUCUUCAGCAUCAUCUCGCAAAAAAACACAGUGGAAAUACAAA